GCAGAUGGGUAUCAAGCCAACUUGUUAAGGACUACUUCACACAAGUUAAACAUGACUAUACUAUCCUCCUAUCUUAAUUGCACUCAAGUUCGGGUUAGAACUUAUCUCACCACUCAGAGAUCACCAAGCACAACAAGCAGAUUAUAUCACACAAACAAAUAUACAAUCAUAAUCACACAAAAAGUAGGCUAAACCCACUGGAGACUAC
rnacentral:lncRNA from 1 species